rnacentral:tRNA from 3 species
GCCGAAGUGGCGGAACUGGAAGACGCGCUGGACUCAAAAUCCAGUGGGGCUUUGCCCCGUGCGGGUUCGAUUCCCGCCUUCGGCA